rnacentral:rRNA from 1 species
UACGUAGGAUGCGAGCGUUGUCCGGAAUCAUUGGGCGUAAAGCGCACGUAGGCGGUCUGUUAUGUCGGAUGUGAAAGCCCUUGGCUUAACUGAGGAAGUGCAUCCGAAACUGGCAGGCUAGAGUACUAAAGAGGGUCGCGGAAUUCCCGGUGUAGAGAUGAAAUUCGUAGAUAUCGGGAGGAACACCGGUGGCGAAGGCGGCGACCUGGGUAGAUACUGACGCUGAGGUGCGAAAGCGUGGGGAGCGAACAGG